GUGUGAUUCAGAACAACUAUUUCAAUCCCACAUACUCAUUAACAUUUAGUUGUGGGCAUAGCUCAGCGUGAUGUUGUAUUGGAAGCUUCACAUGGAGAGAUAUAAUGAGGAAUGAACUGCACAGUGAUGAGGCUUUGACAGUGUAUAAAGUCACUGAUUUCUGAGUGAAACCACAAUUACUAAUUUGAAGCACCAGCUAAUUAAAACCACAGCUAUGUAUUUAGCCUCUUGUUAUACCUACUGCAGUUUAUAAUUAUGAGGACCUCUUUAUCUACUCAAUUAAAGUUCUUAUGAUU